rnacentral:rRNA from 1 species
UACGAAGGGGGCUAGCGUUGUUCGGAAUUACUGGGCGUAAAGGGCGCGUAGGCGGUGUGUCAAGUCAGGCGUGAAAGCCCCGGGCUCAACCUGGGAACCGCGCUUGAGACUGGCACGCUCGAGUUCGGGAGAGGAUGGUGGAAUUCCCAGUGUAGAGGUGAAAUUCGUAGAUAUUGGGAAGAACACCGAUGGCGAAGGCAGCCAUC